ACAGGCACCGUUUCUAGUUUUUCUUUAAAAGACGGCCAAGCUUAUCAAAAUUUCGCCACACAAAAUUGAUUAUAUAAAUACUGAUGAAUCAAGCAAGGUAAAAAAGAAACUUCAUGUGACAGUUAGAUUAUUAAGAGAGGGUAAAGUGUGGAAGGAUGUGGACAUGACAAUAAUGGAGUUGCAUCAGAGUACAGUAGUUAGGGUUUCAUAAUUUGUUGUUGGUGGGUUAUAUUCCGACCGACUGAAGUUGAUGAGCAUAUUCAUACAGUCGAAUCUUGUUGGGUUGAUUCACUAUAAGACACAUUAGCUAGUUAGCUAGCUACUCUCAACGUCAAAGACUUUCUUCUUCUUCUUUAAUCUAUGCUUAAGGGUCUACGGAUUAUCUUGUGCUAAGUUAAGUUUAUUUCCUUUCUUUUGGCUUUGUUGCAACUUGCUUUGCACAUUCUCCCACAAACAAACAUCAUCAUAUUCAUGUUUUCUCUUUUUCCAUUAUUCAAAUUCCACUAUAAAUAAAAGAUCAAAUAUAAUCAUAUAAAUAUAUAUCGGAUUGGCAUUUACAUUAUGUCAAUCCAAUGCUCUCCCACUAAGACUCAAAGCUGUCGUUUUUUCAAUAAAAAUUAAAUGUCAGUAGCCAAGUUAGAUAGAUAAAUGACAGUGUUUUUCUUCAGCCGACAGCAACUAGUUGCAAAUUCCUGUUUCACACAAGGCAAAAAGUACUAUAAGCAGUUUUCAGCGAAGGAAACUUAAAGGAAGGAAGGAAGGAAGGAAGGAGAAGUUGCCCUACAAAGUCGUAUGCAUGGUCCAGAGGCACGUGAUAGCCAUGCAGACAUUUGGCACUGAGUCACACCGCCGGGGCUGCUUUCUCUGCUACAGCUACGCAUAAUGCACAUGUGUACUCGUGGAUUUGGACCAUCCAUUUGAUUUUGAUCCAUUUACUGCUCUUUAUUGUCAGUGGUCCUUUAUUAAUCUAUGGUAGUAAACUGUCUUCAUCCUUCUAUUUUUCCCAUGGACCAUUUCCCAUUAUUAACACUUAAAACGCGUUAUGGUCUUUGAGUUAGACUUAGAUUGUUAUGUUUUCUUCUUUUUUGUUUUCUGAUAGAGAAUGACUUAUGUACAGUUGGUUUAAAUACAUAAUGCUCUAUUUCUUUUA